ensembl:lncRNA
CUAUGCAAGAUCAUAUAGAAGGGGCAAUCUAUGAGGAACAGGGGCGCACCAGACACCAAAUCUGGCACCUUGAUCUUGGAAUUCUCAGCCCCCAGCACUUCACUGUAACUUUAUUUUAGAGUCCUGCACUGCCCUGCCUAGGCUCUCCAGGGCCAUGGUGAGGAAAGCUCUUAAAAGGUUUUCCUUUCUCUGGAGAGAUCCAGGCAUGGACAUUGAGAAUGCUGAUUAGGACUUGCUCCCUCCCCUCCACAACAGCAGUCAGUUCUUUAUUGAGUGAAAUGGAAAGGUGGCACUGUCUUCUUCAUCCUUGGAGCCUAAAAGAAGGAGAUGAGAUGAACAGGGAGAAAGCACAAAGACAGGCCCUCCAGCAUGGCUUCCUUUAGUGGUCAGUGCUAACCCACCAUGGAUCAGGACUUCCAGUAAGUUAUUCCUUCAUAAUAGACUUAGCAGGUAUUCAAGAAGAAAGUUGGUAGAGCAAAGGCUGGUAGCAAAUCACUGCCUUUCAGGCACCUGGAGUCAAGAAACCUGGAAAACAACAACUUAGGGAAGACAAAGAGAAGAGCUCCGGGAAUUAAAAAAGAGCAGACAGAAAAGCUAGAAAUCACAGAGAAGUUGGAGAAACUGAAGAUAACACAGAGAAAAGAUUAAAGUAGUCUGAAACAUCCGUCCCACCUCCUGGGGGUGUGGGGCUGUCUUUAUAAACAGAAGGUAAGCCCAGGAAGAGUUGGCAGCCCCAGCAAUAAAUAACAGACUGGCAGUGUUAGCCCCCAGAGAAGCCCACAGUAAGCUGCAAAUACAGGGUGGGUCUUACUCUGAAAGUGGCUCCUUCCACAUGGCACUCUAGAGUUGGAAAAGAAAUACAGUACAACACCCACUAUAUUUGGGAAAAUGUGGUAUAUAUACACAAUGGAGUACUACUCAGCCACAAAGAAAAAUAAAUGCCAAUCACUUGUAGAAAAAUGCAUGUACCUUGAGACCAUAGCGCUAAGUGAAAUAAAUUAGACACCAAAGGUUAAAUGGCAUAUGUUUUUUAUAUGAGAAAUCCAAAGUAUAAAUAAUUGAAAUAUCAAAAUAAAAGGUAGAUGAUAGUAAACAGAGAGAUAGACUUUGUG